AACGAACGCUGGCGGAAUGCUUUACACAUGCAAGUCGAACGGCAGCACGGGGGCAACCCUGGUGGCGAGUGGCGAACGGGUGAGUAAUACAUCGGAACGUGCCCAGUCGUGGGGGAUAACGUAGCGAAAGUUACGCUAAUACCGCAUACGAUCUACUGAUGAAAGCGGGGGACCGUAAGGCCUCGCGCGAUUGGAGCGGCCGAUGUCAGAUUAGGUAGUUGGUGAGGUAAAGGCUCACCAAGCCGACGAUCUGUAGCUGGUCUGAGAGGACGACCAGCCACACUGGGACUGAGACACGGCCCAGACUCCUACGGGAGGCAGCAGUGGGGAAUUUUGGACAAUGGGCGCAAGCCUGAUCCAGCCAUUCCGCGUGCAGGACGAAGGCCUUCGGGUUGUAAACUGCUUUUGUACGGAACGAAAAGGCUCUGGUUAAUACCUGGGGCUCAUGACGGUACCGUAAGAAUAAGCACCGGCUAACUACGUGCCAGCCGCCGCCGUAA
rnacentral:rRNA from 1 species